UACGGAGGGACCAAGCGUUGUCCGGAAUCAUUGGGCGUAAAGCGCGUGUAGGCGGCCCGGUAAGUCCGCUGUGAAAGUCGGGGGCUCAACCCUCGGAUGCCGGUGGAUACUGUCGGGCUCGAGUGCGGAAGAGGCGAGUGGAAUUCCUGGUGUAGCGGUGAAAUGCGCAGAUAUUAGGAGGAACACCAAUUGCGAAGGCAGCUCGCUGGGACGUUACUGACGCCUGAG
rnacentral:rRNA from 1 species